GGCUGCAACUCGCCUACAUGAAGUUGGAAUCGCUAGUAAUCGCGAAUCAGAAUGUCGCGGUGAAUACGUUCCCGGGUCUUGUACACACCGCCCGUCACACCACGAGAGUUUACAACACCCGAAGUCAGUGGCCUAACCGCAAGGAGGGAGCUGCCUAAGGGUGGGGUAGAUGAUUGGGGUGAAGUCGUAACAAGGUAUC
rnacentral:rRNA from 1 species